rnacentral:rRNA from 1 species
GUCUUUUUGAUUAUAAUUUAAAGUCUAAUCUGCUCAAUGAAAGUUUAAAUAGCCGCAGUAUUUUGACUGUGCAAAGGUAGCAUAAUAAUUAGUUUUUUAAUUAGGAACUUGUAUGAAUGAUUGGACAAGAAAAUUUCUGUCUCUUAUUAAUUUUUUUUGAAUUUAAUUUUUAAGUUAAAAUGCUUAAAUUUUUGUAAAAGACGAGAAGACCCCAUAGAGUUUUAUUUUCAAAUAUUUUUAGUAUAAUUUAUUAAAAUUGAAAAAUUAGUUGGGGUGACUUAAAGAUUAAAUAAACUCUUUAAAUUUUGAUCAUUUAUUUGUGAAUUGUGAUUCUAAUUUUUUAAGUUUAAAUUAAAUUACCUUGGGGAUAACAGCGUAAUUUCUUUUAAGAGUUCUUAUCAAAUAAGAAGAUUGCGACCUCGAUGUUGGAUUAAAAUUUAUUUUAGGUGUAGAAGCUUGAAAAUUAAGUCUGUUCGACUUUUAAAAUUUU